rnacentral:lncRNA from 1 species
GUAUCUAUUUUUUCCUCCCCUAUCUGGUCUGGAAAGACAUAAGAGUACCACCCCCAAUGAAUGACAGCGUACCCUCUAACGAAUGUGGUAUCAUACUAUCUGUAAUUGUCACCCGUGGCUAAGUAAUGGCGUGACUAUAGAUAUCUGUUAGGGCCACUAUGGCUGGUACAACUAUGAUCAUAGAUUAUACCAUGGUUUGGCCUGCCAGAAAUCGGCUUGAGAAAAUUUUCAU